UGUAUGUUGACGUAUUCUGAAAGGAUACUUCUUCGGACAAUAUACAAGGUGCUGCAUGGUUGUCGUCAGCUCGUGCCGUGAGGUGUCGGGUUAAGUCCCAUAACGAGCGCAACCCUACCUUUAGUUGCCAUCAGGUUAAGCUGGGGACUCUAAAGGAACUGCCUACGCAAGUAGUGAGGAAGGCGGGGAUGACGUCAAAUCAGCACGGCCCUUACGUCCAGGGCUACACACGUGCUACAAUGGCCGAUACAGAGGGCAGCUACCUGGUGACAGGAUGCAAAUCUCCAAAGUCGGUCUCAGUUCGGAUCGGAGUCUGCAACCCGACUCCGUGAAGUUGGAUUCGCUAGUAAUCGCGCAUCAGCCAUGGCGCGGUGAAUACGUUCCCGGGCCUU
rnacentral:rRNA from 1 species